rnacentral:rRNA from 1 species
GGUUAAGCGACUAAGCGUACACGGUGGAUGCCCUGGCAGUCAGAGGCGAUGAAGGACGUGCUAAUCUGCGAUAAGCGCCGGUAAGGUGAUAUGAACCGUUAUAACCGGCGAUUUCCGAAUGGGGAAACCCAGUGUGACUCGUCACACUAUCAUUAACUGAAUCCAUAGGUUAAUGAGGCGAACCGGGGGAACUGAAACAUCUAAGUACCCCGAGGAAAAGAAAUCAACCGAGAUUCCCCCAGUAGCGGCGAGCGAACGGGGAGGAGCCCAGAGCCUGAAUCAGCAUGUGUGUUAGUGGAAGCGUCUGGAAAGGCGCGCGAUACAGGGUGACAGCCCCGUACACAAAAGCGCAUGUGCUGUGAGCUCGAUGAGUAGGGCGGGACACGUGGUAUCCUGUCUGAAUAUGGGGGGACCAUCCUCCAAGGCUAAAUACUCCUGACUGACCGAUAGUGAACCAGUACCGUGAGGGAAAGGCGAAAAGAACCCCGGCGAGGGGAGUGAAAAAGAACCUGAAACCGUGUACGUACAAGCAGUGGGAGCACCCUUUUGGGUGUGACUGCGUACCUUUUGUAUAAUGGGUCAGCGACUUAUAUUCUGUAGCAAGGUUAACCGAAUAGGGGAGCCGGAGGGAAACCGAGUCUUAACCGGGCGUUAAGUUGCAGGGUAUAGACCCGAAACCCGGUGAUCUAGCCAUGGGCAGGUUGAAGGUUGGGUAACACUAACUGGAGGACCGAACCGACUAAUGUUGAAAAAUUAGCGGAUGACCUGUGGCUGGGGGUGAAAGGCCAAUCAAACCGGGAGAUAGCUGGUUCUCCCCGAAAGCUAUUUAGGUAGCGCCUCGUGAAUUCAUCUCCGGGGGUAGAGCACUGUUUCGGCUAGGGGGCCAUCCCGGCUUACCAACCCGAUGCAAACUGCGAAUACCGGAGAAUGUUAUCACGGGAGACACACGGCGGGUGCUAACGUCCGUCGUGAAGAGGGAAACAACCCAGACCGCCAGCUAAGGUCCCAAAGUCAUGGUUAAGUGGGAAACGAUGUGGGAAGGCCCAGACAGCCAGGAUGUUGGCUUAGAAGCAGCCAUCAUUUAAAGAAAGCGUAAUAGCUCACUGGUCGAGUCGGCCUGCGCGGAAGAUGUAACGGGGCUAAACCAUGCACCGAAGCUGCGGCAGCGACACUAUGUGUUGUUGGGUAGGGGAGCGUUCUGUAAGCCUGUGAAGGUGGCCUGUGAGGGUUGCUGGAGGUAUCAGAAGUGCGAAUGCUGACAUAAGUAACGAUAAAGCGGGUGAAAAGCCCGCUCGCCGGAAGACCAAGGGUUCCUGUCCAACGUUAAUCGGGGCAGGGUGAGUCGACCCCUAAGGCGAGGCCGAAAGGCGUAGUCGAUGGGAAACGGGUUAAUAUUCCCGUACUUGGUGUUACUGCGAAGGGGGGACGGAGAAGGCUAUGUUGGCCGGGCGACGGUUGUCCCGGUUUAAGCGUGUAGGCUGGUUUUCCAGGCAAAUCCGGAAAAUCAAGGCUGAGGCGUGACGACGAGGCACUACGGUGCUGAAGCAACAAAUGCCCUGCUUCCAGGAAAAGCCUCUAAGCAUCAGGUAACAUCAAAUCGUACCCCAAACCGACACAGGUGGUCAGGUAGAGAAUACCAAGGCGCUUGAGAGAACUCGGGUGAAGGAACUAGGCAAAAUGGUGCCGUAACUUCGGGAGAAGGCACGCUGACACGUAGGUGAAGUGAUUUACUCAUGGAGCUGAAGUCAGUCGAAGAUACCAGCUGGCUGCAACUGUUUAUUAAAAACACAGCACUGUGCAAACACGAAAGUGGACGUAUACGGUGUGACGCCUGCCCGGUGCCGGAAGGUUAAUUGAUGGGGUCAGCGCAAGCGAAGCUCCUGAUCGAAGCCCCGGUAAACGGCGGCCGUAACUAUAACGGUCCUAAGGUAGCGAAAUUCCUUGUCGGGUAAGUUCCGACCUGCACGAAUGGCGUAAUGAUGGCCAGGCUGUCUCCACCCGAGACUCAGUGAAAUUGAACUCGCUGUGAAGAUGCAGUGUACCCGCGGCAAGACGGAAAGACCCCGUGAACCUUUACUAUAGCUUGACACUGAACAUUGAGCCUUGAUGUGUAGGAUAGGUGGGAGGCUUUGAAGUGUGGACGCCAGUCUGCAUGGAGCCGACCUUGAAAUACCACCCUUUAAUGUUUGAUGUUCUAACGUGGACCCGUGAUCCGGGUUGCGGACAGUGUCUGGUGGGUAGUUUGACUGGGGCGGUCUCCUCCUAAAGAGUAACGGAGGAGCACGAAGGUUGGCUAAUCCUGGUCGGACAUCAGGAGGUUAGUGCAAUGGCAUAAGCCAGCUUGACUGCGAGCGUGACGGCGCGAGCAGGUGCGAAAGCAGGUCAUAGUGAUCCGGUGGUUCUGAAUGGAAGGGCCAUCGCUCAACGGAUAAAAGGUACUCCGGGGAUAACAGGCUGAUACCGCCCAAGAGUUCAUAUCGACGGCGGUGUUUGGCACCUCGAUGUCGGCUCAUCACAUCCUGGGGCUGAAGUAGGUCCCAAGGGUAUGGCUGUUCGCCAUUUAAAGUGGUACGCGAGCUGGGUUUAGAACGUCGUGAGACAGUUCGGUCCCUAUCUGCCGUGGGCGCUGGAGAACUGAGGGGGGCUGCUCCUAGUACGAGAGGACCGGAGUGGACGCAUCACUGGUGUUCGGGUUGUCAUGCCAAUGGCACUGCCCGGUAGCUAAAUGCGGAAGAGAUAAGUGCUGAAAGCAUCUAAGCACGAAACUUGCCCCGAGAUGAGUUCUCCCUGAGACUUAAAGUCUCCUGAAGGAACGUUGAAGACGACGACGUUGAUAGGCCGGGUGUGUAAGCGCAGCGAUGCGUUGAGCUAACCGGUACUAAUGAACCGUGAGGCUUAACCUU